rnacentral:rRNA from 1 species
GAUGAACGCUAGCGGCAGGCCUAACACAUGCAAGUCGAGGGGCAGCACGGAAAAGCUUGCUUUUUUGGUGGCGACCGGCGAACGGGUGCGUAACGCGUAUGCAACCUACCCUGUACAGGGGGAUAGCCCGGAGAAAUCCGGAUUAAUACCCCAUAGUAUCAUAGUUUCGCAUGUUAUUAUGAUUAAAGGUUACGGUACAGGAUGGGCAUGCGUCCUAUUAGCUAGAUGGUAAGGUAACGGCUUACCAUGGCAACGAUAGGUAGGGGGCCUGAGAGGGUGAUCCCCCACACUGGUACUGAGACACGGACCAGACUCCUACGGGAGGCAGCAGUGAGGAAUAUUGGACAAUGGGCGCAAGCCUGAUCCAGCCAUGCCGCGUGCAGGAAGAAUGCCCUAUGGGUUGUAAACUGCUUUUAUUUGGGAAUAAACCUCCUUACGUGUAGGGAGCUGAAUGUACCAAACGAAUAAGGACCGGCUAACUCCGU